AACGAACGCUGGCGGCAGGCCUAACACAUGCAAGUCGAGCGAACCCUUCGGGGUUGGCGGCGGACGGGUUAGUAACGCGUGGGAAUAUACCCUUUGGUACGGAAUAGCCUCGGGAAACUGAGAGUAAUACCGUAUGUGCCCUUCGGGGGAAAGAUUUAUCGCCAAAAGGAUUAGCCCGCGUUGGAUUAGAUAGUUGGUGGGGUAAUGGCCUACCAAGUCUACGAUCCAUAGCUGGUUUGAGAGGAUGAUCAGCAACACUGGGACUGAGACACGGCCCAGACUCCUACGGGAGGCAGCAGUGGGGAAUCUUAGACAAUGGGCGCAAGCCUGAUCUAGCCAUGCCGCGUGGACGAUGAAGGCCUUAGGGUUGUAAAGUCCUUUCAGAUGGGAAGAUAAUGACGGUACCAUCAGAAGAAGCCCCGGCUAACUCCGUG
rnacentral:rRNA from 1 species